UGGGGAAUAUUGGACAAUGGGCGCAAGCCUGAUCCAGCCAUGCCGCGUGAGUGAUGAAGGCCUUAGGGUUGUAAAGCUCUUUCGGCGGGGACGAUAAUGACGGUACCCGCAGAAGAAGCCCCGGCUAACUUCGUGCCAGCAGCCGCGGUAAUACGAAGGGGGCUAGCGUUGCUCGGAAUCACUGGGCGUAAAGGGCGCGUAGGCGGACAUUUAAGUCGGGGGUGAAAGCCCAGGGCUCAACCCUGGAAUUGCCUCCGAUACUGGGUGUCUCGAGACCGGAAGAGGUGAGUGGAACUGCGAGUGUAGAGGUGAAAUUCGUAGAUAUUCGCAAGAACACCAGUGGCGAAGGCGGCUCACUGGUCCGGUUCUGACGCUGAGGCGCGAAAGCGUGGGGAGCAAACAGGAUUAGAUACCCUGGUAGUCCACGCCGUAAACGAUGGAUGCUAGCCGUUGGCAGGCUUGCCUGUCAGUGGCGCAGCUAACGCUUUAAGCAUCCCGCCUGGGGAGUACGGCCGCAAGGUUAAAAC
rnacentral:rRNA from 1 species